AUUGAACGCUGGCGGCAGGCCUAACACAUGCAAGUCGAGCGGAUGAAGGGAGCUUGCUCCUGGAUUCAGCGGCGGACGGGUGAGUAAUGCCUAGGAAUCUGCCUGGUAGUGGGGGAUAACGCCCGGAAACGGGCGCUAAUACCGCAUACGUCCUGAGGGAGAAAGUGGGGGAUCUUCGGACCUCACGCUAUCAGAUGAGCCUAGGUCGGCUUAGCUAGUUGGUGGGGUAAAGGCCUACCAAGGCGACGAUCCGUAACUGGUCUGAGAGGAUGAUCAGUCACACUGGAACUGAGACACGGUCCAGACUCCUACGGGAGGCAGCAGUGGGGAAUAUUGGACAAUGGGCGAAAGCCUGAUCCAGCCAUGCCGCGUGUGUGAAGAAGGUCUUCGGAUUGUAAAGCACUUUAAGUUGGGAGGAAGGGCAGUAAGUUAAUACCUUGCUGUUUUGACGUUACCAACAGAAUAAGCACCGGCUAACUUCGUG
rnacentral:rRNA from 1 species